UAUUGUGGCUAGCUUCACAUGGGUGAAUUCACCAACACUGACCAGCAGAGAAGGACUAAACUGAUCAUUACUGUCAACCAGACAAGGACAACUGAAAUCCACAUAUUAAAACGUUUGAUGUAGUCUGAAAAUUGGGACAGGAAUCACAAAAACAAUCACAAGUUCAUAACAAGAGGACCAAUAGUAAGUCAUCCUGAAUGGAUCCCCCAAACAGAGGGGGGCAACGGAGAGGUAGAGGAGGAGCUAACCAUGUCGAUCACAGAAGAGGUGCUGAGGCUGGUCAGAGAGAAGAGGAAGGGAUAGCCA